CAGUAGCCGCGGGAAUACGUAGGUGGCAAGCGUUGUCCGGAGUUAUUGGGCGUAAAGCGCGCGCAGGCGGAUAGGUCAGUCUGUCUUAAAAGUUCGGGGCGUAACCCCGUGAUGGGAUGGAAACUGCCAAUCUAGAGUAUCGGAGAGGAAAGUGGAAUUCCUAGUGUAGCGGUGAAAUGCGUAGAUAUUAGGAAGAACACCAGUGGCGAAGGCGACUUUCUGGACGAAAACUGACGCUGAGGCGCGAAAGCCAGGGGAGCGAACGGGAUUAGAUACCCCGGUAGUCCCUGUCUCUUAUACA
rnacentral:rRNA from 1 species